AUUGAACGCUGGCGGCAGGCCUAACACAUGCAAGUCGAACGGUAACAGGAAGCAGCUUGCUGCUUUGCUGACGAGUGGCGGACGGGUGAGUAAUGUCUGGGAAACUGCCUGAUGGAGGGGGAUAACUACUGGAAACGGUAGCUAAUACCGCAUAACGUCGCAAGACCAAAGAGGGGGACCUUCGGGCCUCUUGCCAUCGGAUGUGCCCAGAUGGGAUUAGCUAGUAGGUGGGGUAACGGCUCACCUAGGCGACGAUCCCUAGCUGGUCUGAGAGGAUGACCAGCCACACUGGAACUGAGACACGGUCCAGACUCCUACGGGAGGCAGCAGUGGGGAAUAUUGCACAAUGGGCGCAAGCCUGAUGCAGCCAUGCCGCGUGUAUGAAGAAGGCCUUCGGGUUGUAAAGUACUUUCAGCGGGGAGGAAGGGAGUAAAGUUAAUACCUUUGCUCAUUGACGUUACCCACAGAAGAAGCACCGGCUAACUCCGUG
rnacentral:rRNA from 1 species